GUAGUGGUUAGGCUGGUUUAUCGCAGCAAUGUGUUCUUUCCUUCUCUCUCCAUGGAAGAGACUCUUCAACAUGGUUAGUUAUCAGAAUUGCCAGCCAACUGAAAAACCCUUUGUUCAAACAGCUCUAAUUGGUUCCUACCUUGAAGAACUGCCAGGCUGCUUCUGCUUGGAAGGCCAUGAGCACGUUGCGGGCACUGAUGCUACAUCCAGCUUGGACUUUCCAAGAACAACUGUGUAGCCUGAUGAAUCCGUUCCCCUGGGAAGAAAGUAAAUAAAGGACCCAUGAAGACUAUCGGGUUUCUGAGAGCAAGGAUUGGUUUUUUGUUUGUUUGUUUUAAAAUAAUUUGGUUCAUAAUGUGAACAACAUCUUAGAGUCCUGUGAAGGUCUCCCUUCUCAUUCCCUGUUUCAAAAGUCUUGUGUCAACUACA